rnacentral:rRNA from 1 species
UGGGGAAUUUUGGACAAUGGGCGAAAGCCUGAUCCAGCAAUGCCGCGUGUGUGAAGAAGGCCUUCGGGUUGUAAAGCACUUUUGUCCGGAAAGAAAUCCUUGGCUCUAAUACAGUCGGGGGAUGACGGUACCGGAAGAAUAAGCACCGGCUAACUACGUGCCAGCAGCCGCGGUAAUACGUAGGGUGCAAGCGUUAAUCGGAAUUACUGGGCGUAAAGCGUGCGCAGGCGGUUUGCUAAGACCGAUGUGAAAUCCCCGGGCUCAACCUGGGAACUGCAUUGGUGACUGGCAGGCUAGAGUAUGGCAGAGGGGGGUAGAAUUCCACGUGUAGCAGUGAAAUGCGUAGAGAUGUGGAGGAAUACCGAUGGCGAAGGCAGCCCCCUGGGCCAAUACUGACGCUCAUGCACGAAAAGCGUGGGGGAGCAAAACAGGAUUAGAUACCCCUGGUAGUCCACGCCCUAAACGAUGUCAACUAGUUGUUGGGGAUUCAUUUCCUUAGUAACGUAGCUAACGCGUGAAGUUGACCGCCUGGGGAGUACGGUCGCAAGAUUAAAACUCAAAUGAAUUGACGGGGU